AUCACAUCUACAAGUCUCGAUCACACAGAAUUUGUACUUACAAAUGUGAACUAUGACAAAGAUGUUCACGCAGGACGUCACCUCAGAAUUAGCUUCGCAGCAACUACAAAAUGUGGCAUCCCACCUCCAACAGCAAAUGUAACCAUAGACGUUCCGAGUACAACUGUAGGGACCAGAACAAGUUCGGAUGGAACACAGUCGUCUAGUACAAUAGGAAGUACACAGCUACCGUUUGAGGCAACUGUAGGACAGCAAUCAUCAGUUCAAAGUACAGAAGUAAAACUUUCACCGAGUCAAUCUGGGACAACAACAAAACCAACCGUGAUAACAAAAACAGUAGGAACGCAUGGGUCAGUUGGGAAUCUUUGUGUCGAUGAUACAUUCUUCAACUGCCAGGAACCUGGUGUGUGUACGUCGAUGUACAAAGAGCAUUGUUCUUAUAGUUGUGGCCGAUGUGGUACAGGAUCUUUUUCUAAGCUGCAGACGACGACAUUUAAACCAUUAUCAACAGGAUGGUUGCAUAUUUUAGGGAA